ensembl:lncRNA
CCCCAGCAUUAAACACACACACUUAGUCCCCAGUAACACACACACUUAGUCCCCAGCAUUAAACACACACACUUAGUCCCCCAGCAUUAAACACACACACUUAGUCCCCAGCAUUAAACACACACACUUAGUCCCCAGCAUUAAACACACACACUUAGUCCCCAGCAUUAAACACACACACUUAGUCCCCAGUAACACACACACUUAUCCCCCAGUAAACACACACACUUAGCCCCCAGUAACACACACACUUAGUCCCCAGCAUUAACACACACACUUAGUCCCCAGUAACACACACACUUAGUCCCCCAGCAUUAAACACACACACUUAGUCCCCCAUAACACACACACUUAGUCCCCAGCAUUAAACACACACACUUAGUCCCCCAGUAACACACACACUUAGUCCCCAGUAACACACACACUUAGUCCCCAGCAUUAAACACACACACUUAGUCCCCAGUAACACACACACUUAGUCCCCAGUAACACACACACUUAGUCCCCAGCAUUAAC